rnacentral:rRNA from 1 species
AUAUAACUAGGCGGAGGAAAAGAAACUAACUAGGAUUCCCUCAGUAACGGCGAGUGAAGCGGGAAAAGCUCAGACUGAAAAUCUUCGGAAUUGUAGUCUGGAGAAGUCAUGUCAGCUCAGCGCAGUGGGCAAAGUGUCCUGGAACGGACCGCCGAGGAGGGUGACAGCCCCGUUCAUGCCUGCUGCAAGAGUGUACGACUGGCUUUCUAAGAGUCGAGUUGCUUGGGAUUGCAGCUCUAAUUGGGUGGUAAAUUCCAUCUAAAGCUAAAUAUUGAUGGGAGACCGAUAGCGCACAAGUA